rnacentral:rRNA from 1 species
UACGUAGGGGGCAAGCGUUGUCCGGAAUUAUUGGGCGUAAAGCGCGUGUAGGCGGCUCGGUAAGUCUGCUGUGAAAGUCCAAGGCUCAACCUUGGAAAAGCCGGUGGAUACUGUCGAGCUCGAGUCCGGAAGAGGCGAGUGGAAUUCCUGGUGUAGGCGGUGAAAUGCGCAGAUAUCAAGGAGGAACACCAAUGGCGAAGGCAGCUCGCUGGGACGUUACUGACGCUGAGACGCGAAAGCGUGGGGAGCAAACAGGAU